AACGAACGCUGGCGGUAGGCCUAACACAUGCAAGUCGAGCGAGGACUUCGGUUCUAGCGGCGGACGGGUGAGUAACGCGUGGGAAUGUGCCCUUCUCUACGGAAUAGCCCUGGGAAACUGGGAGUAAUACCGUAUACGCUCUACUGGGGAAAGAUUUAUCGGAGAAGGAUCAGCCCGCGUUGGAUUAGGUAGUUGGUGGGGUAAUGGCCUACCAAGCCGACGAUCCAUAGCUGGUUUGAGAGGAUGAUCAGCCACACUGGGACUGAGAUACGGCCCAGACUCCUGCGGGAGGCAGCAGUGGGGGAUCUUAGACAAUGGGGGCAACCCUGAUCGAGCCAUGCCGCGUGAGUGAUGAAGGCCUUAGAGUUGUAAAGCUCUUUCAGCUGGGAAGAUAAUGACGGUACCAGCAGAAGAAGCCCCGGCUAACUCCGUG
rnacentral:rRNA from 1 species